rnacentral:RNase_P_RNA from 1 species
UAAGAGAGCUUUGUGAUAGCUGCGUUGCAGAGGAAAGUCCGGACUCCACAGGAAGAAAAUGCUGGAUAACACCCAGCAGGGGAAACCCUAGGGAUAGUGCAACAGAAAAUAUACCGCCAUUUAGGUAAGGUUGAAAAGGUGAUGGUAAGAGCUCACCGCAAUUGUAGUAAUACAAUUGGCAUUGUAAACCCCAUUUGGAGCAAGGCCAAAUAGAAGAAACUAUGUUUUUCCUGAACGUUUCUGGGUAGGCCGCUAAAAAAAGUUUGUAAAAACUUUUUAAGAUGAAUUAUCACAUUAAACAGAAUCCGGCUUAUAAGCUCUCUUUAAAA